CAAGACUAUCGGUCGUCAUUUCAGAAAAAUUAUUUGAUAUCCGGCUCAAAGGCACACGAAUCAAGAAAGUUAGAAAACAUCACUGUUAUAGAUAUUCCAAACAUGACAUUGUACUUUGACACUUUGAGUCAUGCAUAGUUGAAUUUACACUUUGAAUCUACAUUUAUAUUUUUACCACAUCACUCAAUAAUAUACAAAAUACAUGUUUAUACAUUUCAAAUUCAUGUUAAUACAUACAAAAAUACAUGUUAAUAAUUGAAGCAAUACAGUGCUUCUAAAUUUACCUCAAAGUACAACAAUAAAUAAAAUUGACAAGGAUCUUAAAUUGGUUCAUACUUCACCUUAUCUCUUUUCUUUAUUCUUUCUUCUUCGUGAUUGACUACUCAAAGAAAAACCACCGGUGGUGGUAGCUGUUUCCGGCGAAGACCAAGAGGGGGCAGCAUCCCCGUUUUCUUCCUCCAUCUCUUUCCUGUCAAUUGAAGCAAGCCAAACACACCCUAUUGUUGCUAUUGCUUUGCCCAUUGGACUAACCUGUAGCGAGAAAGGAACCCACAAGGUUUCAUCGGAGAACGCCCCCUGCCACUUUGCUCCGCCACCACCAAUUUCAGAUUUCGACUCUCCCUCUACCUUGCUUCGUCGAGCAUCCCCACACAACCACCAGUCCUUCUAUCUCUUUCCUUUUGGCUGUGUAUGUUACCGAAUCGGACCAGAAAAGGAGAAGACGCCGACGACAGCCACCUCGACAUCUGCUCCACAGUCGGCAGUCGCUGCUACUGUUGCCCUUCGUUUUCCUGCUGCCGGCGACGAGAAAGAACCCUGAGAAGGUUCGCCGGAGAUAGGCUACUCCUCCUCCUUGCUCGACAGAUGAACCGCCGAACCACCCUCCCUUGAUCGAUGUUUCGAUUUCUCUUCCUGCCCACGCAUUCUUUUUGUUUGCUUCGUUCUUCCCUUGGGCAAUCUAUCGGAAACGAGGGCACCAAAAUAAAACCCCGAUCCCUUUUAUUAGUUUGAUGGAUUUGGCAGAACUAACCCUCCAGUUGUAUCUUUUAAUUUCAAACAGCCCCAUUUUAAUAGAUAGAUCAAAAAUGGUCAAUGUUGGUUAAUUUAAGUUAUUAAACAACCAUCCACUUGUCGAGUUAUUACCAAAACAGUCCCACCAGCCUUGUGUUUUAUUUGAAACAUCCCUACACUUGUCUAGUAAUACCAAAAAUCCCCCUUUUUGUUAAUUAAGUGACAAAAAUAGUUAUGGUGGUUUGUUUUAAACUCAAAGAGCGUCAAGUUGCGGUUUCUCACGACAAACUUCACGAACCGAGCCUAGAUCGAGAUCACGCAUCGAAUGUUAUUUAUAAGGUCGGAAGAGUUUGUACAGAAGAUUUUCCGAUAUUCUUAUCAUACAAAUGUGAACGCCGGAUUGUUAGGCGUGUGUAGCGUUUCAGCAAAAACUAUUGUCAAUGUAAUUUCCAUUUCGGUAAUAAUAAAAGAUUAUAUUUGUACUGUUCAA